AGUUAUCGUGUUAACCCGAAACCCGUUAUUUUCGUGUCGUUUUCGUGUCGUGUCACCGUAUCGUGUCAAAAACUGCCAUGUCUAUCUUAGACUAUGGAAAUCAACCUAAACCACCAUUUGUGGUACAUAGUUAGGUUCUUGUGGAAAAUUGACGGAAAGUCUUUGGGCAAUAAAAUUCAAGGUCAACCCUUUAACACAAUAAUUACCAUUUUAAAUGCUUUCAAUACAGGAAAUAUUAUUCUUUUUCAGUUGUAAGUAAAAGGUUUUACGUUCAAUUCUCAUCAAAGCGAAUUUGCACCACAUUAUUGCUAACUCAUUGUGAGACUUAUCCCACACUCUCAUCCUAUUAAUAUAAAUUAUACCAUUUGUUAAAAAAAAAUAUAAUGAAUAGUUCUAUUCAGACUAAUCACUCUUAUGAAACGAAGUCUUACGAAUCUUUCAGGUGCUUUUGCACUCAAACUAUUAUUAACCAAUAUCAGUUGAAGAACUAUGAAGAACAAUUUCUAGAGAGAGAGAGAGAGAGAGAGAGAUUGAGAGAUCAGGAAGAGAGAGAGAAUAGAGCAAUGAACUUUCUUUGUUAAUUAGUAAGUAAUGCAGUAUACACUGCUAUUUAUACACAACAAUCUUAACUAACUAACCAUCACAUCCUCUAAUCUAAUGCGAAGUGUAACAAUCAUAUAAUACUCUAACAUCCCCUCUCAAUCUCUU
rnacentral:lncRNA from 1 species